rnacentral:misc_RNA from 1 species
GAUGAAGAACGCAGCGAAAUGCGAUAAGUAAUGUGAAUUGCAGAAUUCAGUGAAUCAUCGAAUCUUUGAACGCACAUUGCGCCCGCCAGUAUUCUGGCGGGCAUGCCUGUUCGAGCGUCAUUUCAACCAUCAAGCCCCAGGCUUGUGUUGGGGACCUGCGGCUGCCGCAGGCCCUGAAAACCAGUGGCGGGCUCGCUGUCACACCGGGCGUAGUAGAUUUUAUCUCGCUCAGGGCGUGCUGCGGGUUCCGGCCGUUAAAAAGCCUUUUUUACCCAAGGUUGACCUCGGAUCAGGUAGGAAUACCCGCUGAACUUAAGCAUAUCAAUAAGCGGAGGG